rnacentral:rRNA from 1 species
UACGUAGGUGGCAAGCGUUGUCCGGAUUUACUGGGCGUAAAGAGCGCGCAGGCGGUCGUUCAAGUCGCGUGUGAAAGCCCCCGGCUCAACUGGGGAGGGUCACGCGAUACUGAUCGACUCGAAGGCAGGAGAGGGAAGUGGAAUUCCCGGUGUAGUGGUGAAAUGCGUAGAUAUCGGGAGGAACACCAGUAGCGAAGGCGACUUCCUGGCCUGUUCUUGACGCUGAGGCGCGAAAGCUAGGGGAGCAAACGGG